GUGCUCACUUUGGCAGCACAUAUACUAAAAUUGGUAUGAUACAGAGAAAAUUAGAAUGGUCCCUGCUCAAAGGUGACACGCAAAUUCGUAAAACGUUCCAUAUAUAU